CUAGCGCAGAGGAUAUGACCCAAAUAUGAGCAGGCGGGACUUUUCAGCCUAUACAGUGCUCAAAAUACCCUCUCCAAAAGAUAUACUCGCUUGCUCAAGGAGACAUCUGGAUACUGUGUCGGUGCAGCUGCAUUCAAGUGGGUUGACACUGGGGCCGCGGGGUGUGCCAAAAGCCAACAGGGUCAAACACCUUCCCCUCCGAAAAAGCAAUGAUCCCAGAGCCCUGGCAUCUCCAUCUGAGCCAUCUCCAGCCAAAGAGCUGACACACACGCAAAUGCUCAUCUGCUCGGCCUCUCAACAACCAACUGCUGGGCUGUGACAGCGCUGAGAAAACAAAAUUUUCUUGAUACCGGCAAAGGAUUUUGGACACGCAACCGUGGGAAACGCGAAGUUGUCGGGAGAUCACACAGGGACGGAUGCCGUGGAUGGCUCGGCUGAGGACAUUCAGAGGAAGAGCAUGCAAAGGAAGGGGAGCGGUUAGCAGAUGAUUAUGACUGGAACAGACAGCUUUGGAAUCCAGAAGAGCAUGAGACCUUCAUGUGGGGAUGAGCCACCUCCGAGAUCAAUGUCUGCAUUUUGUUGAUCAAGGACUGCAGAUCUACCAUGCAAGAUGCAUUUUGUUUGCUAAAUAAUUAUCUGAAGUCUCUAUUCAUUUGCAGAUUUUUCACACAAAAACAGAAUGCAUGAUAAUGACGUUGUAUGGUUGAAUAACAUUUCUAGUCUUUAUUUGGCACAAUAGGUGAUUAAUGGAGCGAAAUCGCUUCUGGUAAUUUUUCCCUUUACUGCAUGCAUUGACUUUUAAGGCCAUUUACCACUGAACAGAAUGCAGUAAAGUUACUUUUAAAAUCUUUCAAUCUAGAGCUGGUUUAAAGGAUGUAAACAUACAAUAUACUGUGUAAGAUCCCGAAGCUCACCUUAAUAUCCUAAAUUAAUUUCCUUACCAUGGGUAUACCUACUUUAUAUUUAUCAGUUAUUGUGCAAAAUAGCAUUCCUACCACUGUUAAGAGUUUUGUGUGCCUUCAGCUUCAAUAAAAACAAUAUCCUAAA